UUAAAAACUCGCGCAAACCUAGGAAAACGCCCCAUUCUGCGAAAAAGGAAGUCCAGCGAAGAAAGAAGAAGAGGAGGAGGAGAAUGAUGGCGUCGCUCACAAAUUCUGCAAUUUGGGAUGAAAUCGAGAAAUCGGAGAGUUAUCUUGUUUGUUGUAUGUUUGAGGAGGAAAUCACUUUGUCUUCUUCUGUUGUUCAACGACUAUGCAAAGCUGAUUACUCCUAGACAAUACAAGAUACUGAGUUGGUGGACAUGUUGGAAUCAGCUGGGCCGGUAUAUGUUCAAUCUCUUAAAGAGUUGGGAAGGUCAUGCUUUCUGAUAUCAGAUGAAUCAAUUUCUGACCUUCCUGAAUUGCUCAAAGACUUUCUUGGAAAGUGGAGGUUGAUGGAUGAUGAGGGUCAGCAGUAUGUUCU